UUCUGAAGUUUUUCUCAGUAGUUAACUGCAGUCGGUUCCAUAAUUCAGCAGUUAACUACCGAUGGACAU
rnacentral:pre_miRNA from 1 species